rfam:Macrostomum lignano unitig_47423, whole genome shotgun sequence.
UAUCUGGUUGAUCCUGCCAGUAGUCAUAUGCUUGUCUCAAAGAUUAAGCCAUGCAUGUCUAAGUACAAACCUUAAUACGGUGAAACCGCGAAUGGCUCAAUUAAAUCAGCUAUGGUUC